rnacentral:lncRNA from 1 species
GCUGUGUUUCUGGUAUGCAGAAAUUCGGAUUAUAUUGAUCGGGACAGUGGCGCGUGCCUGGAAUGACAGCUUGCUCAUGAGCUCGUUGGCGCUGACAUCGAACUCGCUCGACGCGUUCCCUCCGCCGCCGCCGCCGCUCGGGCCCUCACCAUUGUCGUAGAAAUCAGCCGACGAAAUUGCCGUCGCGCCCUGGAACCGGCUCAGCCGCGCCUGCGCAAUUUCAGGAUACACUCUCAGGGCCCCUGAAUCGCUGACACACCUGUCUAAAAGCAGCGUUGUUCAUGCGCAUGCGAUGCAACUGCUGGAAGGGGCAUUGUGGUGUUCAUCACAUUGUUAUUUGUGCCAUUUGAUGCCAGAAAGAACCACAAGUGGUAUACAAUCAUAGAAAUCUAAAGCUUGUGGCUGCAUCCCAUGGUGUGGCAUCUGGACAUGAUCCUUCCACUGCUGAGUUUACGACAGCAGACUCCAAAGACACAUGAGGAACGCCCCCAGGCUUUGGGUAGCCACAGCGCAGACUUUGCAGGCCGUACCUCCUAACAGUGCUGUACCCUCCAUCUUGUGAGGGUGCUGUCAGCAGCCAGGCCAAAAGAGGCACCACUCCAGAUGUCAAAUCCAGAUGCCAGUUUUUGGGUGUCAGCUGGGAAGUGACCCAGAAAGUCAAAAGAAAAGCCGCACCUCCUUUUCGUAGUUGUUGCCAGAGCUGUUCUCGUCGGAGUUGAAUUGCGAGCUGGAAAUGCUCUUCGCGUUGCCGAAACGCCGCCGCGCCGCGUCAGCUUCCUCUGCGGCCGGGGCCGCCUGUUUCGCGGCAUUCCCUCUUCCGCCCACAGACCUGAAUAUUUUUAUGCAUAUAAUCAGAUCCGAGAUCCGACAUAAGUUUGCUUGUGCUCGGAAAAAGAGACAGAUGAAUAGAGCUGAUUCCCCAUCCAGCACAGGAACUCAACGCAACGAUCUGCUGCCGAUGUGAAUGAGAGCUCAGGCACUGGACUGCCCUUGCUUCGUGGCAAGCAAUUGUUUCUCCGACCAAGUCGUGGAGGAGUGUCUCACAUGACACUUUGACAUGUCUGACAGCCUAGAAUUGCUCGCCAUGCUUGUGAGGGUAGGAAACACAAAACGACAGAGUAGGAAGAACGGGUGGGACCCAGAGUGAGUGAACACCCCUCCCCUGACAGAAUCAUUUUUGCGUACACACGCAAACUUGUCCCAUCAUGAUGCAGCCACUGGCACACACUACCAGGGACGUCACAUGCAACAGAGAUUCAGGACCUGCGCACUUGACCUCGGUUCUCUCUGAUGCAGCACCUAGCAUGCUCUACCGAGGACAUUCCAACGGAAGUGGCAGGGCCGCUCGCUCUGCGAGGGAGCCUAUUCUUUGGGAGACCGCUCCUUCACAGGCGAUGAGCAAAACAUCGGCAUAGCAUCCAUGCUAAUGCGUGCUGUAAUAGGGUGCCCCAUCUAGAGGUUAUCUUGUUACUGAUGACCAGAGAAGUACAUUGCAACAGGAGAUGAGUGAGGCUGCUCACUUUGCGAGGGAGCCCUUGGCGGAGAGCGGAGACGCGAAGAAGUCAUCGGCGGCCGACAGCUGCACGUGGCCGUCCUUGCCGCGCUUGACGCCGGUCGCCUUGGCCGCCUCGUCAGCGUUGGCCAGCACGUCAUACGCGAAGCGCGAGGCCACCUUGGAAUCGUUGGCUACCA